rnacentral:rRNA from 1 species
GACGAACGCUGGCGGCGUGCUUAACACAUGCAAGUCGAACGGAAAGGCCCUGCUUUUGUGGGGUGCUCGAGUGGCGAACGGGUGAGUAACACGUGAGUAACCUGCCCUUGACUUUGGGAUAACUUCAGGAAACUGGGGCUAAUACCGGAUAGGAGCUCUUGCUGCAUGGUGGGGGUUGGAAAGUUUCGGCGGUUGGGGAUGGACUCGCGGCUUAUCAGCUUGUUGGUGGGGUAGUGGCUUACCAAGGCUUUGACGGGUAGCCGGCCUGAGAGGGGGACCGGCCACAUUGGGCCUGAGAGACGGACCAGACUCCUACGGGAGGCAGCAGUGGGGAAUAUUGCACAAUGGGCGGAAGCCUGAUGCAGCAACGCCGCGUGCGGGAUGACGGCCUUCGGGUUGUAAACCGCUUUCGCCUGUGACGAAGCGUGAGUGACGGUAAUGGGUAAAGAAGCACCGGCUAACUACGUG